UACAGAGGGUGCGAGCGUUGUCCGGAAUUAUUGGGCGUAAAGAGCUCGUAGGCGGUUUGUCGCGUCGGCCGUGAAAACUUGGGGCUUAACUCCAAGCUUGCGGUCGAUACGGGCAGACUUGAGUUCGGCAGGGGAGACUGGAAUUCCUGGUGUAGCGGUGAAAUGCGCAGAUAUCAGGAGGAACACCGGUGGCGAAGGCGGGUCUCUGGGCCGAUACUGACGCUGAGGAGCGAAAGCGUGGGGAGCGAACAGG
rnacentral:rRNA from 1 species